CCCUUAGAUGUCCUGGGCCGCACGCGCGCUACACUGAGUGUCUGAGAUACGAGUCUGCCUGGUCCGGCAAGGUCUAGGUAAUCGCUAAAAGACACAUCAUGCUUGGGAUAGAUUAUUGCAAAUAUUAAUCUUGAACGAGGAAUUCCUAGUAAGCGCAAGUCAACAGCUUGCGUUGAUUACGUCCCUGCCCUUUGUACACACCGCCCGUCGCUACUACCGAUUGGAUGUUUAAGCGAGGUUCUCGAACUGCUAGCGACUUAGCUUCGGUGAGGUCGCAGUGUGGGAAGUGAACCUAGCUUUGGUGUCUAGAGGAAGUAAAAGUCGUAACA
rnacentral:rRNA from 1 species